UACGUAGGGUGCGAGCGUUGUCCGGAAUUAUUGGGCGUAAAGGGCUCGUAGGCGGUUUGUCGCGUCGGGAGUGAAAACUCAGGACUUAACCCUGAGCCUGCUUCCGAUACGGGCAGACUAGAGGUAUGCAGGGGAGAACGGAAUUCCUGGUGUAGCGGUGAAAUGCGCAGAUAUCAGGAGGAACACCGGUGGCGAAGGCGGUUCUCUGGGCCUUACCUGACGCUGAGGCGCGAAAGCUAGGGGAGCAAACAGG
rnacentral:rRNA from 1 species